rnacentral:rRNA from 1 species
ACAGGUGCUGCAUGGCUGUCGUCAGCUCGUGUCGUGAGAUGUCCGGUUAAGUCCGGUAACGAGCGCAACCCUCGCUGUGUGUUAUAUGUGUCACACGGGACUGCCGGUAUCAAGCCGGAGGAAGGUGGGAUGACGUCAAGUCAGCAUGGCCUUUAUGUCUCGGGGCUACACGACACGCUACAAUGGCCAGUACAAUAGGUUGCGAAGACCGCGAGGUGGAGCCAAUCCUUAAAGCUGGUCUCAGUUCGGAUUGCAGGCUGCAACUCGCCUGCAUGAAGUCGGAGUUGCUAGUAACCGCGCGUCAGCCAUAGUGCGGUGAACACGUUCCCGGGGCUU